CUGUGUGAGCACUUCACGCAAUCAAUAUCAUUAGGUAAGGAGGUGAUCCAACCGCAGGUUCCCCUACGGUUA
rnacentral:tRNA from 1 species